rnacentral:misc_RNA from 1 species
AUAAUCCUAGCGUCGGGUAAGCCGUGAUCACGAAGGCGGUUGCCCCAGAGCGAGACCUGUCCAUUAGCAUCUAGCAGUAACGGGUUGACCUCUGCGACUAUUCUCAGUGGGAUGUUCGGGCACAUAUUUUUUUUAGUC